rnacentral:rRNA from 1 species
AGAGUUUGAUCCUGGCUCAGGAUAAACGCUGGCGGCGUGCCUAACACAUGCAAGUCGAACGAUCCCGCAAGGGAGAGUGGCGGAAGGGUGAGUAACACGUGGGGAAUCUACCUCCUCGCAGGGAACAACCUCUCGAAAGAGAGGCUAAUACCCAAAAGGGUCAGAAAUGAUCAGAGUCGAAAGGCGUGAGGAGAGGAGCCCGCGGCCCAUCAGCUAGUUGGUGAGGUAAUGGCUUACCAAGGCUACGACGGGUAGGGGAUCUGAGAGGAUGUCCCCCACACUGGAACUGAAACACGGUCCAGACGCCUACGGGUGGCAGCAGUGAGGAAUGUUGGACAAUGGGCGAAAGCCCGAUCCAGCAACGCCGCGUGGAGGAUGAAGGCCUUCGGGUCGUAAACUUCUUUAGAGGGAGACGAGAAAGGACGGUAUCCCUAGAAUAAGCGACGGCAAACUACGUG